rnacentral:rRNA from 1 species
AACGAACGCUGGCGGCAUGCCUAAUACAUGCAAGUCGAACGAUCACUUCGGUGGUAGUGGCGCACGGGUGCGUAACGCGUGGGAAUCUGCCCUUGGGUUCGGAAUAACGUCGGGAAACUGAUGCUAAUACCGGAUGAUGACGUAAGUCCAAAGAUUUAUCGCCCAGGGAUGAGCCCGCGUAGGAUUAGCUAGUUGGUGGGGUAAAGGCCUACCAAGGCGACGAUCCUUAGCUGGUCUGAGAGGAUGAUCAGCCACACUGGGACUGAGACACGGCCCAGACUCCUACGGAAGGCAGCAGUAGGGAAUAUUGGACAAUGGGGGCAACCCUGAUCCAGCAAUGCCGCGUGAGUGAUGAAGGCCUUAGGGUUGUAAAGCUCUUUUACCCGGGAUGAUAAUGACAGUACCGGGAGAAUAAGCCCCGGCUAACUCCGUGCCAGCCGCCGCCGUAA